CAAAAUGUGUUAUAGACAUUAGAUCUUUCAGGUAUUUAUUUUGAUUUUGUGUAGAACACGUGUAGCUAGUAGCAACGGGUGAAAUUGUAUUUUACGUUCUUUGAAGACCCUAAAGACAUUUUACAAAUAUUUUCAAUUUGGCGGAAUUCUAUCAAAAUGUAAUCAACCAAAAUUGUGGACUUGAGGAUUUGUAAUUGUUCUUUUGCCACGUGUGUUCUUUGCCGUGCACUGUUAUCUGUUCAGUGAUCUGUUCAGGGCAUGGCACAUCCCGAACAGAUCACAUGGGCACUGGGCACUUGUGCUUCAUGGUCUGGUAGAAGCAAUGGGCACGUGGUCAGAUGGCCUGGAAGCACAAAGCAGUGAGCUAUGUUUGGCGUGAACAACUUUAAAUGGAUGGCCUGGACGCACACAGCAGUGAGCUAUGUUUGCAGUGAACAGCUUUAAAUGGAUGGCCUGGAAGCACACAACAGUGAGCUAUGUAUAGAGUGAACAGCUUUAAAUGAGUGGCUUGAAAACGUCUGGCAGUGGACAGUGUAGAAUGAGCAACACUAUUUUUUGUGUAUACUCUAUGAAUUAUGAUUAAAAAAAUAUAUAUUUGUAUGUGAAAAUGACAGAGGGUAGGUGUUAAUUGAACUACAGUCAUGGUAUAGUGCAUUAAUGUAAAUACAUAGUGUGAUCAAAGAAUUAAUAAAAGCAAAACUUUUGAUAAAUACAUUAUUGUGCCGUUGUUCUGAUAACACCUUUGGAUGUGCAAGCCUUCAGAUGGUCCAGUAUCAUUUUUUUCUAAUUGAUUUUUGUAUCAAUUUGAAAUGCUUAAAAAAUAUUUGUAAAAAAAUUGCACUUAUGAAUUUAAUUAUCACAUUAUCAGUGCUACAGUUUAGAUGAGAUUUUAUUCAAAUUAAAUUUCUUAAUUCCUCUCUUGUACAGGAUUUUUAAGAAUAAAUAUAACAACCAUU